rnacentral:rRNA from 1 species
UACGGACGGUGCGAGCGUUAAUCGGAAUUACUGGGCGUAAAGCGCACGUAGGUGGUUUUAUAAGUCGGAUGUGAAAGCCCCGGGCUUAACCUGGGAAUUGCAUCCGAGACUGUCUGACUUGAGUAUGCUAGAGGGAAGUGGAAUUCCAGGUGUAGCGGUGAAAUGCGUAGAUAUCUGGAGGAACACCAAUGGCGAAGGCAACUUCCUGGGGCAAUACUGACACUGAUGUGCGAAAGCGUGGGGAGCAAACAGG